rnacentral:rRNA from 1 species
CCACACCAAAAAUCCUUUCCACGUGAACUGUCGUAUUUGAUUCGCGCCGUGACGUGUGUCGUCGCUGCGUGUGCGUUUGUGCGUGCGUCUUCUUGGAGAUGUGUGCGCGAGUGCGCGCGUGGCGGUGACUGCGUGGGUCGGCUGAUCGAAGGUCGCUUUGCGCUGUCUGGCGCGGAGCGGCUGACUUAUUCUUUCAAACCCAUUCGUUAGUACUGAAACAUACUGUGAGGACGAAAGUCUUUGCUUUUACUAGAUAACAACUUUCAGCAGUGGAUGUCUAGGCUCGCACAUCGAUGAAGAACGCUGCGAACUGCGAUACGUAAUGCGAAUUGCAGAAUUCAGUGAGUCAUCGAAAUUUUGAACGCAUAUUGCACUUUCGGGUUAUACCUGGAAGUAUGUCUGUAUCAGUGUCCGUAUAUCAACCUUGCCUCUCUUUGUCGGUGUAGUCCGGCUCGGAGUGCGCAGAUGUGAAGUGUCUCGCGCUACGUCGGUCCACGUUUGUGGCUAGGCGCGCGAGUCCUUUGAAAUGGACACGAUCUUUCUAUUGCUUUCUGCGGAGCGCGGUAUUUGAACGCGGCGGUCUUGGGAUCGCCUGCAGUCGAUAGCGACUUUGGCAGAGACAUAUGGAGGAGCCCUCAUUUCGCGGUACGUUAGGCUUCGGCUCGACAAUGUUGCGUUGUGAGUGUGUGAUUCCGUCUUUGCUUUGAGGUGUACUGUCGGUUGUGGGCUUGAACCCUUGCACUGUGUGCUAGUAGAGUGGUGCGGUCUCUGUGGUUUGCGUCUAUGUGUGUCUUGCGGCGCACGUAGGUAGGAGGGUAUCAUUUGGGAACGAUUGUACUGCGCGCUGCAAAGCGUGUGUGUAUCUCAGUUGGACCUGAUAUCAGACAAGACUACCCGCU